CGUUAGCGGCGGACGGGUGAGUAACACGUGGAUAACCUACCUAUAAGACUGGGAUAACUUCGGGAAACCGGAGCUAAUACCGGAUAAUAUAUUGAACCGCAUGGUUCAAUAGUGAAAGACGGUUUUGCUGUCACUUAUAGACGGAUCCGCGCCGCAUUAGCUAGUUGGUAAGGUAACGGCUUACCAAGGCAACGAUGCGUAGCCGACCUGAGAGGGUGAUCGGCCACACUGGAACUGAGACACGGUCCAG
rnacentral:rRNA from 1 species